UAUUUUAAGUAUAACACGGGUCAGUUGCAGGUUAUUUCCACUAUAAAUUAUUUGUAUUUCAGACUUCCAGACUUAACAUGGUAAGAUGGAAAAACGCAGGGCCAAGGGGACGGGGUAGUAUUUCUCUGAAAUAGAUAUCGUUGAAUUUUGAGAUGGUCAAUAUUGCUUGUUGGAACUUCGCUUCAUUUAUUUUGAUAUAAACACUUUUGAUGGCAGGUCAAGAUUUUGCACAUUUUAAUCACUUAGAGGCAGUACUUUUUGAGUAACUUGGCAUUGUACGCUGAAAACGUGUUUUUGUUGAGAUUCUACUCCACCAACGCACCAGUUCGUGUUUUCUUCCGCGAACGUCUCAAAUGUCAGACUGACUACGUCAUGGUGCGGAGAUGCAAGCCACGCCCAUGUAGUAAAUUCGCCCAAGCAAAUAAACGUAUUUCAGUGAAAAUGAAACUGACAGUCCUGAGAUUAUUCUCGCAUAGUUACUAGCUCUGAAUGUUAUAUCUGACAGAAAACGAAAGAAAAGAAAACAAAGCUGCUGGCGAUUUUUGCUAACACACUUUUAGGGACCUGCAGAAAUGCCGGGGAUGGAUCACCACAGUGGAUCUAAACACCUGUCCUAUAAGGAUGCCCUUCAAUGGCAGAUGCCGGCAUCAGGGCCAGGAAAUUCAGCUGCCGCCCAAAAUGACCCCGUGAACAAACUCAAAGCUUCCCUUCGCAACAUCAUGCACAGGCACCCUGAAGGAGUGUCGCUGGCUCAGAUUCGAAGGUCCUGUCCUUUGCUCCGUGACCCUGUCCUUUUGAAGGACUUUGCUUCUUCCAAGCUGCUCCUGGCCUCACUGACUGAUGUGGUGCAACUGCAGGGCAUUGGCAUUCAGACUCGAGUUUGCCCAGCAGCAGCAGCAGCAGCACCUCGGACAUAGCGCCCGCAGGGCUGUGUCCUUAUAAAUGUACAAUCCUCACAGAGACACGGCAGGGAUUAGUUAUUCAUGUGUUCUCUUUCAGUCUGUUAUAUCCCUGUGUGAUACAAAGAUAGAAAAUGUUGAUAUUCAAGAAUACAGCUUCAUAUUUUUUGUACUACUCAAUAUAAUUACAGGUACUCAUGCCAAACUCUUGUACAUUUGACUUGCUUUGAAUAUAGGACCAUUUUGUCAGUUCAUUCCUGUCCUGAUUAGUGUGAUGUAAUAUAGUCAAAUUUAAUUUCCUAUUUAGGAUUGUUGACUCAAUAGAUAGAUAUUUAUAUAUAUAUAUAUAUAUAUAUAUAUAUUUUAAAAUAAAAGUAAUCAAUGUCUGUGAUUUAUUUCAUGACCUGAAGUCUUUUCUUGGCUACUAACCUAGCUAGCUAGUUAGUUAUAUUGCAUGUAAUUCAUAUUAAAGUUAGCAUAAUUCAAAUUUUUAACAUAUUUUAAUUUAAAUAUGUACAAAAGUAAUUUGUAAUUAAUAAAAAAUAUAUAU